rnacentral:lncRNA from 1 species
UGUCUCUCUCUGUUGCCGACUUGUUCAUCCCAAGCGCUUAGUACAGUGCUCUGCACAGAGUAAGCGUUCAAUAAAUACUACUGAAUUGAAUGAAUGCUUUAUUCACUGCAUCAUGCUAGUCCCUGAAAAUGAUUUCUCCUCUCAAUCUUGGGAUUCUUUUAGGUUCUCAUGGAAAGGAAACCCAGACCAGAAUCCUCUCCCCGACUCUACUUAGAGCCUGAGGUCCUCAAGCCACUCUCUGCUAUCGCCUAAAUGCCUCUAGGAAUACAAGUAAAAGACCCCAACCCUUGGAUUCUUAGUUAUAUGACAAAUCCACAUCCAAAGUGAGUGACCCUCAGUGCCUAAUAUCUGGCGAGUUUGAAUCUACUCCACUGGUGAUUCCCUGCCUUGAGGACACAAACGCACUGCUGUGCUUAGACUGUCAAGACGGCUCUUCUUUCCUCAAACGUUUUGGUACAGUACUUCGAGUUUGGGAGUCAUUUGCCAGACAGCAUUGAACGGAUUAAUUACCUGGAUAGACGGGGUGCAAAAAACUGCCAAGGAAGAGACUUAUGUGCCAACAUUUGCCAUGGGGUUUAUUUACACUGGACUAUUUGCACGAGAUAAAAGGAGAAAGCACAGCAGAAACCAAAUGAUGUCAGACAAAGGGCAUCUGAGACAGGAAGCGAUAAGGAUGCAGUUUCAGAAUCCGGGAUGGGGCCUGAACACCUGAA